rnacentral:rRNA from 1 species
AGAGUUCGAUCCUGGCUCAGGAUGAACGCUGGCGGCGCGCCUAACACAUGCAAGUCGAACGGUUAAAGCCCCUUCGGGGGUGCAUAGAGUGGCGAACGGCUGAGUAACACGUGGGCAACCUGCCCCCCGCACCGGGACAGCCUCGGGAAACCGUGGUUAAUACCGGAUACUCCGCCACCCCCGCAUGGGGGCGGCGGGAAAGCCCAGGCGGAGGGGGAUGGGCCCGCGGCCUGUUAGCUCGUUGGCGGGGUAACGGCCCACCAAGGCGAUGAUGGGUAGCCGGGUUGAGAGACCGACCGGCCAGAUUGGGACUGAGACACGGCCCAGACUCCUACGGGAGGCAGCAGUGGGGAAUCUUGCACAAUGGGCGAAAGCCUGAUGCAGCGACGCCGCGUGCGGGACGAAGGCCUUCGGGUCGUAAACCGCUUUCAGCAGGGACGAGGCCGAAAGGUGACGGUACCUGCAGAAGAAGCCCCGGCUAACUACGUGCCAGCAGCCGCGGUAAUACGUAGGGGGCGAGCGUUAUCCGGAUUCAUUGGGCGUAAAGCGCGCGCAGGCGGCCUGCUCGGUCGGGAGUCAAAUCCGGGGGCUCAACCCCCGCCCGCUCCCGAUACCGGCGGGCUUGAGUCUGGUAGGGGAAGGCGGAAUUCCCAGUGUAGCGGUGGAAUGCGCAGAUAUUGGGAAGAACACCGGUGGCGAAGGCGGCCUUCUGGGCCACGACUGACGCUGAGGCGCGAAAGCUAGGGGAGCGAACAGGAUUAGAUACCCUGGUAGUCCUAGCCGUAAACGAUGGACACUAGGUGUGGGGGGAGGAUCCCUCCGUGCCGCAGCCAACGCAUUAAGUGUCCCGCCUGGGGAGUACGGCCGCAAGGCUAAAACUCAAAGGAAUUGACGGGGGCCCGCACAAGCGGCGGAGCAUGCGGAUUAAUUCGAUGCAACGCGAAGAACCUUACCA